AGAUCAUGACCUUUGCCGAAGUUGGACGCUUAACUGACUGACCCAUCCAGACACCCCUAAAUUAUUUUUUCUAACGGGAUUCUUGUUUUAAAAGAUUUUAGUUACAAAACAAUAGUUUCCUUUUACUAAUCAAAAAUGUACCAUUCAGAGGUUUUGGCUUCCACACCAUAACUAAUGUAAUUCACCGGGUUCUUAAGAUUCGAGCUGAAAGCAAAGAACUGUGAUGUUUUAACUCAAGUAGUUUCAUUGUUAGAUUUAUGAUUUCCAGUAGGCUUUUGGAACGUUGCCCAAGGGCCGGAGACUCCCUAUCCCCCUUUAUAGAUUCUAGACUAGAUCUUUCAAUGUCGACACGUUUGGUUUCGUAACCAAAAAAUAUCAAUGAUUAAGCUGGGAUUUAGCUGGGAUUCUCAAGACUUUGAGCAGUGCCUGACUUGCUUUGUCCCAGAGAUUCCACUCCAUCGGGUGCUCCCAACAUGUCAUAGCUUUUGUGUUUUUCACAUUUCAGACAUCAGUACAAAAGGAUUCAGACAAACUGCUACGUCUUGUACAGCUGUUACUUAUUUUCUCGUGAGGCUUUAUGGUCUCUGAAAAAGCAGUAGCGUUAUUUAGCAUGUUUAAAAAAAUGCUCAAAAUACCAUGAAUUGUAUAGAGUAGCCUAUCGUAUCACGUUUCUGGGAACAAGAUUUUGCCAACAAGAAUUAAAAGAGUGAAAGAAGACCGUCAGGAGAUAUCGUGGCCCAAUGAUGGCAGAGGCAAAAGUUGUUCUGGGAUCUGAAGCGGGAGAGAUCCCCGCAGAGGGCGUGAUGAAGGACACGUUCCCAGCACUGGGGCUGAGUGGCCUGCAAGGUGAGUGGGUUUUGCGUACGUGGAAAGGGGGCAGAGGUGGCGACGGAACGGUGAAGUGACUAAGGUGCACGAGUCUUCAAGACAAAGCCAGAGAGAGGCCGCACGACAGCGCGUCUGCCACGUCUUUGCAGAGAUCCGGCUUGCUUCCAUUCCCCGCCAUGUCUAACGUGUUUGGAAUAAGACGCUUUUCUCCUUUCUGGUUGCUGGUGCCUCCGAGUGAUCAACAGUGUCAAGGUUUGCUGAGCACAGGCGCUUUCCUAGAUGCAGCCGAGGAUGGUGCCUGGCCUGCCUCUGAGGGCUCUUCGGAAUAACAUAAUGCAAACGUGGUAUCUGUGAGACUUGUCCUCAACCAGCCCACAGUCUUCCUGCACCUGGUCUGUUGUGGCGCCUCCAAGUUGACGUGCUUGGAUCCUUCAUCUGGUUUUGUGGCUCGCCCUCUCUCAUUCUUGGCCUUCUUUCUGCCUGCCCACCUGCCACCCCUGCCACAUACUUUUUCUCCGAGUCUGUGGCUUUCGGGGACUCUUCUGGUAAGGAGGAGGAGAGGGAUAGAUGCAUAUGCGUUUAGCAGUGAACAAAUAAAUGCUUGCACGUGAUGUAACUGCCAUGUGACCUAAGGUCGCAUCACGUGGAGUAUAGUACUUGAAACAAGGGAGGUGGUCUCUUCUGACUCUUGAGUAGGCACGAGGCGAGGCGGCAUAGAGGGUAGAGGUUAAGGAUGCAGGGCUCUGGGGACAGGCUGCCUACAUUUCAGUACCAGCUUUCAUUUUCUAACUUGGUGGCCUUGAGCAACAUACUUAACUUCCAUGUCUGUUUCCUCAUUUCCAAUAUGGGGAAUAAUAAUAAUAAUAAUCUUAUCUAAUGGAGUUGUUGGCAUUAAAUUGAAGUUCUGUAAUCGAAGUGCUUAGAAGGGAGCCUGGCACAUAAGUACUCCAUAGAAGUUGGUUUUUACAGUUGUCGGUUCUGGGAAGCAUUCUUUAAAGAAGCGUGCAGACGCAGUGUGGCAGACUUCGAGGAUGUGACUGUGGGGGUGAGGGGACAGGCCAUGCGCUCUAAGUGAAGGCCGCAGGAAUCAGGGAGGCCGAGACUAGAAAAGAAAACUCAAGAGGAUGUACGGUUUUUUUCAGAGAUCUGUGGACGUCUCCUCUUGUGUUUGUCAUCUGUCACAGUGUGUAUGGCCCCAAAGUGAUGACCUUUGUAAUAGUCUUGGAGGAGGUGAAGGAGGCAGGGGGGAUAAGGGUGACAGGUGUAUUUCCACGAUCACGUCAGAGUCCAGAUUCCAGUUCUGUCCUCACCACGUUUGACCUGCAGCUUUACUCACAUCUUUGGUAGCUCAGUUUAUUGAUCUGUAAAGUGGAAAUAAUAAUAAUGAUUCGUGCUGUUUUGAUGGAAAGAGGUGACAGGGAUGCUAGCGGUUUGUGGUGGGACAGAAGGGUACCUGCAGGUGUCCGAGAUCUGGCCCUCAGCCUGGCAGGUGUAAGCUUCUGUUAGUAACUUGCCCACAGGCGGUUUUGGCGACAGACUGAUCCUAAUUUCUCUCUUUCAGCGCUGGAGUAGCGGCCCCCAAAAGAUGUACCCAUGGUCCUCGUUUCCAAAUAAAGUAGCAUUUACAAAU